GGCGAAACCAGAAAAAGCGCGUGAGACAUUGGAAAACGGAAAAUAUUCUUCAAGAAAUGAUAAGCUGAGCAUGUUGGAUUGGUAAAGAUCUUCGUGUGAAAACUAGUCUUUGGUUUUGAGUAUUCAAAGAUGGACGGAAGGUGAGAAAUGUAAAUUAGGUACUGGAGACAUAGCUUUGGAGUCCAGCAGACCUCAUAUAGGGUGAGCUUUCAGAUCUGCACACAAAGU
rnacentral:misc_RNA from 1 species